rnacentral:rRNA from 1 species
CGAAGCAGCGGAGCGUGUGGUUUAAUUCGAUGCUACACGAAGAACCUUACCAGGGUUUGACAUGUAAGUGGUAGUGAUCUGAAAAGUGAAGACCCUUCGGGGAGCUUUACACAGGUGCUGCAUGGCUGUCGUCAGCUCGUGUCGUGAGAUGUUCGGUUAAGUCCGCUAACGAGCGCAACCCUCACUGUGUGUUGUAUGUGUCACACGGGACUGCCGGUUUUAAGCCGGAGGAAGGUGGGAUGACGUCAAGUCAGCAUGGCCUUUAUAUCCUGGGCUACACACACGCUACAAUGGUCGGUACAAUAGGUUGCCAAGCCGCGAGGCGGAGCCAAUCCAAAAAAGCCGGCCUCAGUUCAGAUUGUAGGCUGCAACUCGCCUGCAUGAAGAUGGAGUUGCUAGUAACCGCAGGUCAGCAAUACUGCGGUGAAUACGUUCCCGGGUCUU